CUCGGUUGCCGUGUGAGCAUUCCAAGCAAGACAACUCUCCUUGAUUCUCAUUUUGAUGCUGAUCCUCGUUUCUUCUCAUCGGUGCAAAAGGUAGACCUACUUCCACAGUCACAUUGUUUCCGCGGUGCUAAUUUGACAGAGUGGAAACUUAAUCGUGCAAGAUGCCUUUCAGCAAAAAAUAGUCGAACAUGCAAACUGAAAGUAACAACGAUGCUGGUACUCUUGUUCAUCUCUAGUUUCAUAUACAAGAUGCAAAAAACUAUAUUUUUGGAAUGUUCUCCAGAUAUAAGUCACAAGAUAGAAAUACAUUGAAAUCACCUUUUGCACUGCCCAGCAAUAAGGAUGUUAGAGAAGAGGAAACGGUGAACUCUCUCGACUUCAAAUUUUCAUGUUCUUCUUUUUUUUCUCCGGUGUAUUGCUUCAAAGAAUAAGGCCUUAAAGGGUGUGUGUUUAAAACUCUACUAGCUAGUCUUGUUGGUCAUUGGGCAUUUAUAAUAUAUUUAUUUGAUAUACAGAGAAUAAUUAGUUUCUGUAUUACAUACUGGACGAAAAUAAUUUCCAUAUAUCAACAUAUCAUGGCUAGUUAAUUAGUAAUUUUACUGCAUGUUGGAUGUUCUUUGACCUCCUGGGAGAUAUGAUAUAUGAGCAAGUGUUUCAAACUUUCAACCUUGUCCGUUAAGUUUAUGUAUGAACUACUACCCCUCGAAAAUAUGAGAAUGAAUGCCAUGUGAUACAAGUUAACCUUGCUAACUGUACUGUGAACUGAACCUGCCUUUUGUCUCUCAGGGUGGUAAAAUUUCACCGGUAUAUAUAUCACAAGUCAGACUGAACUUGAGAGUUCCAUCCAUGUAAUAAAACCUUCGGCAAGAGCUUAACUAAUCACUCAUCAAAUAGGUAGUAGUUGCCGUCAUACAAUGCAGAAUACUGGAAAUAUGAAGAAAACUAAAUACUACUUGUUUUCCGGAGCACCGAACAUAUCUUUGAUUUAAAGUAGUACAUUGAUGUAGGACUUCAGAAGUUGUGGACACUAAUAACCCACUUUUUAAUAGCUCCUGAAUACUGCUGUUCUUUUGAGCUUCUACCAUGAUUAUCCUGCACAGCACCAACCUUUGUUGUGAUAUACUACAUAUGUUAUCACCUUUGCCCCACAUAUAAUAUGCACACUAAAAUGUUAUUACUUGACUUGAUGAUCUUGUACCUGGUACCAUGGCAAGAAAGAUGAACUUCAUGUUUAAGAUCUUAACUUGAGAUGCAGUUCUCCUGCUUAAUUAAUUUCAUUUUGGAAUAUCAUGUGUUCGGUAUAGAAUAGCCAGGGCUAGAGCAAAUGAUGCAUCAUUAGUUUUCUUCGAAUUUCUCAACUACCCAUGCAUUUGUUGCAGAUAAGAUGCAAAGUAAGGAAUUGAAACUGGAGAUUUGGAAAUUGCAUUUUGUUCAAAAUACAUCCAGUGUUUUGGCUCUAUGGUAGUGAAUUUUGACCUGUUUAUUGCUCAUUUAUUUUUUUAGUUUCCAGAUUCCAUUAAUCUCCGGUUUAACUCGGUGUAUCAUGAUUCCUACUGGAGCAUCUAUGCACCACACUGUUAAAUCUGAGACUGGAAGACACUUAAACAGUUGCAUAUAUGUCACUGCUUCCCCUGGACUACUAGGGUUCCUUGCGAACUAAAGGGAGUUCAAUCCGUCUCCGAUCCAUUUUCCUCUCCUAACCUGCAUAUAUAUACUUGGGUUGAUCUAGGGGCAAGCCUAGCCUUGGUUUCCGGCCUUCGUGGUGUCGCUAGGAUUAGGGUUUCGGUUUAGUUCUGGUGAUAGCAGUGGCGUGUGAUUCUGUCGUAGUGAAGGUUGUGGCAGGAGAUGCGGGAUAGACGACGCCCGACAAUGCAUUGGCCAGCAGAAUUACCGGGUUUGAUGUGCUGUUUGAGAAGUUGGACCUUGAAGAGGAGGAAUUCGACGUCUUGGUGAUAGAUGAGGAUGAUCCUGAGUUCCAACAGUGCACCCGGUGGCUGGCGCUGAUGAGGGUGAAGAUAGUGAAAAGAUUCAGGCACCCUAGCCUGUUCUCUCAGAUGUGAUCUCCAUGGAACCUUGCACAACACGUCCGAUUCAGGGUCGUUUAAGCAAAUGUGUUUGUUAUUCAGUUUUUCUUUUUUACCUUGGACACGGGGAACAUGUGAUAGAGCAAAGCCCAUGGCUAUUUCGCAGGUAUGCUGUAAUCCUGGAGCCGAGUGAUGGGUUCUUGAAGGUGCCAAUCUGGAUUCAGGUAAGGUGCUGGAAGCAUAUCGCAAGGGCAAGCUUGUGAAAAUAUUGAUCAAGAAAGCUGGCAAAGUUCUCUAUGCCAAUCUCAGAUUGCACAGAAGGUCAGAUUACUGCUUAUCGGCUACUUUUCUUUGUUCCAUACCGGGGAAUCAAGCAGUUAUUCAAUGGGUUAGGAGCCCCACAAUGCUUCACAUGGUGCGCGACCUGCCUUUUGCUUUCUUCAGCGACCCUGAGUUGAUGCUCAUCUUGGCUGCUGCUCCCAUUGCCGUUUGUUAUGGCAGUGAUCGGAACAGUAGUGUGGUAUUUGAAGAAAUAAGUUCAGAUAUGCUCCGUUCUUUGCUUAGAUCCUGCAGAGGUCAGCACUGGCUACUUUUGGAUUCCAUUGCCGCGGAUGGCUCUGGAGCCAAUAAUUCCAGUGACAGCACACAGGUCUCACCGGAUACCAGAAGCUCACUGUCCGACAUCUCAAUGCUGUAAAGCCGACAGUAUCAGGAAAAGGCGGUUCAGGGGCCAUCAGAUUUUGAACAGAAAUGGGAACCAAAAGGAUGGUAGAGGAAUUUUUGUUGACAAGGCAGAAGAAUUUUUGUGCAGCGGUGCAUAACAGAAACACUGAAUAGCACAAGCUGACCAGACCUUCACAAGAAGCUACCGAAUUAGGGUUUUCGAGGCGGUGGCGCGUCUGACUAAUGUACCAUGAGGCGACAUAUUAUGGUGGCGAUUACGGGAUAUGAAUAUGAUUGUAUAGUUCCGGUUUACCCGACCUGUUAUCUUCGGUGAUGUCAGGUUUGAGUCGUCAUAUAGAGAAUAAGUUUGCGACGAAGUGUUAUAUAUGCCUCAAAUUUGCCUGUUCAUACCCCAAAAGAAGUGUGUAAAAGAAGAAAGUAACGAUCAACUGUAUCAAACACUAGCACCAACACAGCCACACAUGCAUGUACUGAGCUUC